rnacentral:lncRNA from 1 species
CAUAUACAGGUGCUCUGUUCUGCCCUGCACACCUCCCUUUGACAAUGUUCCCCUCUCCCCACCGCACCCCUGUUCAUCAUCCUCCAAGAGCCCCCAGCUCUUCAAGGAACCUUGUCUGGCCCUUCUUGGCUCUAUGUUCGCUUGCUGCUUCCCUGAAGUUCUCUUGGACCAGUGUUCUCUUGCUCUAUUCCAGCUUUUGUUGCUUGUUCUCCCCUCCAGGUGAGAUCCCUUGUCUAGGAUUUCUUGGCUCUCCAGCAGCCUCUGUCCUUU